rnacentral:rRNA from 1 species
AACGAACGCUGGCGGCAUGCCUAACACAUGCAAGUCGAACGAGACCUUCGGGUCUAGUGGCGCACGGGUGCGUAACGCGUGGGAACCUGCCCUUAGGUUCGGAAUAACUCCCCGAAAGGGGUGCUAAUACCGGAUAAUGUCUUCGGACCAAAGAUUUAUCGCCUUUGGAUGGGCCGGCGUUGGAUUAGCUAGUUGGUAGGGUAAAAGCCUACCAAGGCGACGAUCCAUAGCUGGUCUGAGAGGAUGAUCAGCCACACUGGGACUGAGACACGGCCCAGACUCCUACGGGAGGCAGCAGUGGGGAAUAUUGGACAAUGGGCGAAAGCCUGAUCCAGCAAUGCCGCGUGAGUGAUGAAGGCCUGAGGGUUGUAAAGCUCUUUUACCCGGGAUGAUAAUGACAGUACCGGGAGAAUAAGCUCCGGCUAACUCCGUG